rnacentral:rRNA from 1 species
GACGAACGCUGGCGGCGUGCCUAACACAUGCAAGUCGAACGGAGGUUAGUGCUUCGGUAUUAACCUUAGUGGCGAACGGGUGAGUAACGCGUGAGAAACCUGCCUCUCAGUGGGGGACAACAGUUGGAAACGACUGCUAAUACCGCAUAACACUUUAGUACCGCAUGGUACAGAAGUCAAAGCUUUAUGUGCUGAGAGAUGGUCUCGCGUCUGAUUAGCUAGAUGGCGGGGUAACGGCCCACCAUGGCGACGAUCAGUAGCCGGUCUGAGAGGAUGAACGGCCACAUUGGGACUGAGACACGGCCCAAACUCCUACGGAAGGCAGCAGUGGGGAAUCUUCCGCAAUGGGCGCAAGCCUGACGGAGCAACGCCGCGUGAGUGGAAGAAGGUUUUCGGAUCGUAAAGCUCUGUUGAGAGGGACGAGAGAUA